UACGUAGGGGGCAAGCGUUAUCCGGAAUUACUGGGUGUAAAGGGUGAGUAGGCGGUAAGAUAAGUCAUAUGUGAAAGCCCAAGGCUCAACCUUGGGAUUGCAUAAGAAACUGUUUUACUAGAGUACAGGAGAGGUAAGUGGAAUUCCUAGUGUAGCGGUGAAAUGCGUAGAUAUUAGGAAGAACACCAGUGGCGAAGGCGACUUACUGGACUGAAACUGACGCUGAGUCACGAAAGCGUGGGGAGCAAACAGG
rnacentral:rRNA from 1 species